CUCCAGUCCAGACCGGCUCAGUGGGCCCCUAUAACACUGGUCCCAACCCUCACCACCAAGAACCUGUCUUUAACUCUGGCUCUGUUUCUGAUUUGUUUGUGUAGUGGUGACUUUGUGUCAUGACGUUCCCCUGCGUAAUUUGCUAUUUUUAUUUAAUUUGGCAAAUUUCAAGAAUGGCAAAAAUAUAGUAUUUUGUCAAUUGUAUCCUUUUUCUACACCAAGUUUGUUUUUUAAAUGUUGUAAAAGUCUCAGCAUUUGUUAAGGCGCAAGUACCACCCGCCUGCUAGCUGCAACUUGAGGGUUUUUCUGUGUGAUUUGUGAAACAUUUAAAAGCAGUGCUUUGGUUUUGUUGAAGAGAGAAACGUUGGUUGCAAUUUAAAAGUGAGGCACACCUUCCGUCUGGAAUGAUGUUGAGCUGCUUGCAAUCAUACCAAUGCCCCUGCUCAUGCACUUCCCAGCCCCCCCCCAAACAACACUUUGAAACAGGAACUAUCACACGUCUUACCUCUGUGUUAUCCUUCUACCUUUCACACCACUGGCAGUUGAAACGGUUCAACAUGGAGUCUGUGACACGUCCGGCGAAGGAGCCUCCAUCUCUCCCGCUCCAAUCUGACAGUCAGAACACCACCUAUUACAUUCUGUAGUUUUGGGAGGCGUGACAGGAAAGCAGCAGGGUUCCUGUGCUACAGUAACCAUUUGUUUUGGUCUGGCAGAAUGCUGCCAUCCUGUUUAGUACAUUGGGACUGUAGAAGUAUGAUAGCUCAAAUACAUAUUGUUUCUUUCCGUGGACAUUCGACUAACAAACAUGAAAGUGUGCAAACGUAGAACACUGUAAAAUGUUGAGAUGAAAUGGCACAAUCCGAAAACUAAAUAAGGCGUUUUUAAAAACCUUAAACUUAAUAUUAAUGUAAUGUUCAGUCGUACUUAAUAAAGUGUAGUGUGAUUUUCUACAUUUGCUUGUAUCACAGAUGUUAGUUGUAUACUUGAAAGUAAUUGAAACGAAUGAGAAUCUCAACCUCACAGUCUAAUUAUGGAUUAUUUAUUACUCUUAUGUUUUAUUAUGAAUCAAUCUGUGAAAGAUGGAAUGGCUUUUUCAGCCUCUCUAAUCAUUAGCUCAAUCUUUACAACACAUCAGGCCUAUAUUGGGAGUAGUAUAAAAACUAUAGCCAAAAAAGUAUAGUGUAUAUAUUUUAGUAUUUGAAUUCUGUAAUGAAAAUCACUCCGUAUAAUACAAGGAUACUUUGCCUAAAUUAUUUCAUUACAAAAUGCUAGUGAGGAGGUUUUGCUCAUGAACGUCAAACCCCCCCAGACUGGGAGAUAGUGUCUUGCUACAGUCAGAUAUAUCUGGACUAGGGGUUGUAGGGAGUCUUGCUACAGUCAGAUAUAUCUGGACUAGGGGUUGUAGGGUGUCUUGCUACAGUCAGAUAUAUCUGGACUAGGGGUUGUAGGGAGUCUUGCUACAGUCAGAUAUAUCUGGACUAGGGUUUGUAGGGUGUCUUGCUACAGUCAGAUAUAUCUGGACUAGGGGUUGUAGAGUGUCUUGCUACAGUCAGAUAUAUCUGGACUAGGGGUUGUAGGGAGUCUUGCUACAGUCAGAUAUAUCUGGACUAGGGGUUGUAGGGAGUCUUGCUACAGUCAGAUAUAUCUGGACUAGGGGUUGUAGGGUGUCUUGCUACAGUCAGAUAUAUCUGGACUAGGGGUUGUAGGGAGUCUUGCUACAGUCAGAUAUAUCUGGACUAGGGGUUGUAGGGUGUCUUGCUACAGUCAGAUAUAUCUGGACUAGGGGUUGUAGAGUGUCUUGCUACAGUCAGAUAUAUCUGGA
ensembl:lncRNA